rnacentral:rRNA from 1 species
UACGAAGGGGCUAGCGUUGCUCGGAAUCACUGGGCGUAAAGCGCACGUAGGCGGACUCUUAAGUCGGUGGUGAAAUCCUGGAGCUCAACUCCAGAACUGCCUUCGAUACUGGGAGUCUCGAGUCCGAGAGAGGUGAGUGGAACUGCGAGUGUAGAGGUGAAAUUCGUAGAUAUUCGCAAGAACACCAGUGGCGAAGGCGGCUCACUGGCUCGGUACUGACGCUGAGGUGCGAAAGCGUGGGAGCAACA